AACGAACGCUGGCGGCAUGCCUAACACAUGCAAGUCGAACGAGACCUUCGGGUCUAGUGGCGCACGGGUGCGUAACGCGUGGGAACCUGCCCUUAGGUUCGGAAUAACUCCCCGAAAGGGGUGCUAAUACCGGAUAAUGUCUUCGGACCAAAGAUUUAUCGCCCUUGGAUGGGCCCGCGUUGGAUUAGCUAGUUGGUAGGGUAAAAGCCUACCAAGGCGACGAUCCAUAGCUGGUCGGAGAGGAUGAUCAGCCACACUGGGACUGAGACACGGCCCAGACUCCUACGGGAGGCAGCAGUGGGGAAUAUUGGACGAUGGGCGAAAGCCUGAUCCAGCAAUGCCGCGUGAGUGAUGAAGGCCUUAGGGUUGUAAAGCUCUUUUACCCGGGAUGAUAAUGACAGUACCGGGAGAAUAAGCUCCGGCUAACUCCGUG
rnacentral:rRNA from 1 species